rnacentral:rRNA from 1 species
GUCGUGCGAGGACCUUCGGGUCUAGCGGCGGACGGGUUAGUAACGCGUGGGAACGUGCCCUUCUCUAUGGAAUAGCCUCGGGAAACUGAGAGUAAUACCGUAUACGCCCUUCGGGGGAAAGAUUUAUCGGAGAAGGAUCGGCCCGCGUCUGAUUAGAUAGUUGGUGGGGUAAUGGCCUACCAAGUCUACGAUCAGUAGCUGGUUUUAGAGGAUGAUCAGCAACACUGGGACUGAGACACGGCCCAGACUCCUACGGGAGGCAGCAGUGGGGAAUCUUAGACAAUGGGCGAAAGCCUGAUCUAGCCAUGCCGCGUGUGUGAUGAAGGCCUUAGGGUCGUAAAGCACUUUCGCUGGGGAAGAUAAUGACUGUACCCAGUAAAGAAACCCCGGCUAACUCCGUGCCAGCAGCCGCGGUAAUACGGAGGGGGUUAGCGUUGUUCGGAAUUACUGGGCGUAAAGCGCGCGUAGGCGGAUUAGAAAGUUGGGGGUGAAAUCCCGGGGCUCAACCUCGGAACUGCCUCCAAAACUACUAGUCUAGAGUUCGAGAGAGGUGAGUGGAAUUCCGAGUGUAGAGGUGAAAUUCGUAGAUAUUCGGAGGAACACCAGUGGCGAAGGC